rnacentral:rRNA from 1 species
GACGAACGCUGGCGGCGUGCUUAACACAUGCAAGUCGAACGGAAAGGCCCUGCUUUUGUGGGGUGCUCGAGUGGCGAACGGGUGUGUAACACGUGAGUAACCUGCCCUUGACUUUGGGAAAACUUCAGGAAACUGGGGCUAAUACCGGAUAGGAGCUCCUGCCGCAGGGGGGGGGUUGGAAAGUUUCGGCGGUUGGGGAUGGACUCGCGGUUUAUCAGCUUGUUGGUGGGGUAGUGGCUUACCAAGGCUUUGACGGGUAGCCGGCCUGAGAGGGUGACCGGCCACAUUGGGACUGAGAUACGGCCCAGACUCCUACGGGAGGCAGCAGUGGGGAAUAUUGCACAAUGGGCGGAAGCCUGAUGCAGCAACGCCGCGUGCGGGAUGACGGCCUUCGGGUUGUAAACCGCUUUCGCCUGGGACGAAGCGUGAGUGACGGUAAUGGGUAAAGAAGCACCGGCUAACUACGUG